UGGUGUAACUUAUUUUCUUUCGGUUUAACUUGUAUAUUUGUGAAAGAUUGGGAAUAAAAUGUAGCUUCACCAGCCCAUACCAUCCACAAACCAAUGGCUUGGCUGAAAACGCUAAUAAAUCCAUCAAAAGGAUUCUCUUACAUAUCUAAUUUGUAACACUAAGGAUCCCUUGAUCUACAUUUCAUGGUUUGCUUCACUGGAAACUAUAAUCGCAUUUCUAAUUUUUUUUUCGAUGAAUACAGAGUAAAAUUCUUCAAAAUGAUAGAUUAUUGUUUCCUUACCACACACCAGGUCAUUGGGUUCUUGCGGUAAGAUGUUUUGUAUUGUACUUCUGGAUUAUGGGCAAUAAAUGUGGCACUAUAUACGAGAUUUGUAACACAGCUGGGUAGCCGUGAUAUAAUUUCCCGUGUUAGGGGUUUUCAGUGAGUUCAGUGCAUGCAAAGGAAAGUGGAAUGUGAAUGUAAAAAAUAAAAUGCUACUGUGAAGUUAUGUUGUUAAUGUAAACUUGGAAGAAUACAGUCUGUAACGAAUUGAUCAAUGGUUUCACAAUAUGCUGUUCUCUUGUGUGUUAGUGAGACAUUACAAAUGAGAAUAUGUUAAUGGAAUGAUUUUUGAUAAAUCAUUAUAAAAUUCUUGAAAUCAUCACAUUACCAAUAUAAUUUGCACAUAUAUUUACACUUACAGAUAGUCUUGAUGUAAAAAAAGGAAUUGUUAAUAAUUGACCCCUUGUGUGAUGAGAUGAGAUAUGAAAGAACAUGCCUGAGGAAUUGGAGGUGAUUUAUUAGAUACUCACGUUUACAGUGGACAUGAACGGUUACUGUGAAAAAAAAUGUCAGGGAAUGUAACAAUAGUGAGACUAAUAUCUUCCUAUUAGUUACAAAUAAAAAUUGAAACAGCAUGUACUUGUACUGAAUAUGCUUAGUAAUGGACUUAGAGUGAACUUAUGUGAUUUGAGUCUGCGUAACGACUUCAUAGAAUGUGGACACGAAACUGUAGCAUGUUGCAUGAUUGAGAAGGUGCUAUUAUCAACAUGGGGCACAGCAGAUCAGGUGAUACACUGUGUAAGAGUGAGACAAUAAUAUGAAAGCAAGUGUGUGUGAGCAAUAAGUCAUUGCAAUCAUUAAUUUAAACAGAGAUGGAAUGGAUUUGUACCUAUGUCCAGAAAUGGAAAGCAAUGCUCAUUUAUGCAGUCCACUAAUGUACUCUCUAAAAAUUUCAGAUACUUCAUCAAAUGAUUAACUAGCAAAUCCUCCUCUGAUUGGAAGAGUAAAAUUGUUCAGCAUCCCAGACAAAGUGAUGGCCAGAACUGCGGACCACUCAUCUUAAAGGUCCAGUGUGAUUCUUGCAAGAGGUAGGCAUAUCUGCCCUGCAUUCCAGAAGGAACCAAUCCAGAAACCCUGACUGCUGAGAAGAAAGAAUACAAGUGCAAAAAGUGUGCAUAGUUCACUUCUUUACCAAAAAAGAACAUCGUUUAAAUGCUUGUUGUUCAAAACAUCAUGGAACCAAAAGAAAACUUUUUAUUUAUAUACCAGAUUAUAAUA